ensembl:snoRNA
CUAGCACUUUCACAGGUCCUCCCCAGGCAGUGGGGCCAGGAUUUGGUAGCUGGUGCUUAAAGAAAGCCCUUGAUUGCAUUCUUGUCCUGGAACUAUGCCAGUGGCAUCUGUCACUCAAUGGGACAGAG